UUGUUUGUGCUUCCUCCUCUUAAUCCCGGAUUUCCGGAAGAAGACAAGGUGCGUUGGCGGCAAUGUUUUUGUCCCGCCUUCAUUGCGUCACAAAUAGCCUAAUGUGGCGUAGGUUUUGACGAAUGGCUGAUCCAGUUUACAGCUUUCUCUGCUCAUCCAUCAAAAGAAAAGGAGAGAAACGCAAAGGAAAAACAAAAGCCAGCAAGGACCAAAACGCUCAAAUCGAAUGGAAAAUGAAGAAGAAACAUGAGUGAGUACUUACUCGUCUUCCCACGGACAGAUGUCGCUGAUUUUGGACGAUGAUUUAUCCACUUGCGAUGGCUCCGUUCCGGAUUCCGGCACAGUGAGGCCAGAAGCGGAUUCUUUUCGGCAAUGACCACUGCCACCACUACCACCACUACUGCCGGCCAGGCUAAUAACAGGCGAUGCUUGUUUUGAUGGAUGCAACACGACCACUGUCACUUCACUCGGCGAUUUAACUUUCGGAGUUUCCGGCUCGUGCGACUCCCACGGGCAAACUACGUCGCCCAGCGCCACCACUUCGGUCGAACUCUUUGGCUGUGCAACGGGAAUUUUGGUGCGAGUACCGCCGGACGAAGUGGCCGGAAGCAUAGCGCUGGCCGAAUCCCAAGGACAGACAUCCGUCGACAGAUGGCCACUGUCAACACUGCACGAGAAGCUGCUCUUCUUCGUUGACGGGCUGCUCACGUUCGGCGUCUGCGGUUCCGUCUGGUCCACCGACGGACCCGGAUUCGAUACGAUACUCUUCGUCCGGCCGCUUCCGACGGUGAUCGGCGGAGGCGAGCUCACCGUCUCCCAAGGGCAGACGUUAUCUUCCGUCGGAAGGAUCGGCGUCGAAUCGCUAGUACUGCUCGAUCUGAUGGAAGAUGUUUGUGUAGGAAGGAAGAACAGAAAAACAGGACGAAAAACACAGAAUAAAAAGAAACCACGCCGGAAUUUAAAAGAAGAAAUAUUCCGGAUUUCCCGAUUAAGACGAUAUUUUUUUAAAUUGGACUAAUCAAUCAGAGGAAUUCAAAACUGUGGAAAAGGGGAACGUGUGCUGGAUGUCUAAUGCACGUGACGGGAUAAUGAGCAACGGAAUUCAAUUCCGCAAAGCGGAUGAUGCUUUUGCACGUUAAAACAGAAAAGGGAAGGAACAUGCUCAUCAGCUCUUAUUGCAACGCAAACAUGAAACAAGGAGGAAACUAAAAAGAAGAGGAUAAAACGGAACGUAUUCAAAUCUCUCGGCUCGUCGAUCCGGCAAAUCUGAAUUUUCCGACGGAUGACGACAAGAAGACACGUAACGAGCAUAACAAAAUGGAGAGGGAACAAAUGUUCUUAUAAUCACAGCACUAACGAAAAGAUGAAGAAAACAUUGAAUUCAAAUGAAAUUAAACAGGCAAUCAAAAAUGCAUCACUAAAAAUCUAAUGCACACAACGUCAAUCAAGAAGAAGAAUAAAAUAAAAGAGGAGAAACAGAAUUAAAAAAGAAGGCUCGAAAGUUCUCAUCAAAUUCUGAAAAGAUCACGAAACGGUUCGACGGGUUGAAGCAAAUCGGGACAAUAUUGAAGAGUAGUGAAUCAAAAAGAAAAUUGUAAGAGAGGACGAUGACGAAAAAGAAAAUAAUCAAGUCAAGUUUUGACGGGGUCUCCGAUGUUCAAAAUGGAACCACGAUUUUUUUUUUUUAGUAUGGUUCGGGGGCUCAAGUAUAAACUUACUGCAGCAGUGGAGGUGGUGGAGGACUAAGAGGAGGAAGAGCAAGAGGAGAGACCAGCUGAACGGUAGAUGUCGUACGUUGAGACGGCAUAUCCCCACUGCAUCGAGCGUGAAAUGUUUUCAAUUUACUUUCAAGUUAAUUUAAGAAAAAAGGAAAAACGAUAAAGAACCCCAUCUUGUUUUUAAUCCACAAAAGAUUUCAAACAACAAAGAAUUCGUUUUUUUUUUCAACAGCGAGUAACAGAUGAAAUCAUGAUUGCAAUCCAUCUCUAAAAUGAUCCUAGAUUAUUUCCGAGAAAUGAUAGGACAAGCUUUGAUUUUUUCGAAUCAUUAGGUCCAUCAAUCCAAAUUCUAAAAGACUAAUCAGAAAUCAAAAUAGAUGGAAAAAAGAGCAACACAAAGUCUCUGUUGCUAAAGAGAAUCAUACCGAUAAGGUGUAUCGCAUUCGUCGCUAGGAGCCAUGCUGACGUUGGUGCAGCUUCCGGCGGAAGACCCGACGGCCGGGCUGCUAUUGAUCCCGGCCGAAGCGGCUGCAGUUGUGGCCGAUGAACUGGCCAACAAGAGACUCGUGUUUGUCGAUGAAACGCCAAGUGUCUGUUGAUGCGGAUGAUCCGGAGGUGAACCGGACAGACUCCGUUCGCCGACACUUCCCCUUCGUCUAAUAGCGCUCGAUCCGCAUGAAAGGUUCAGUUGCUGCAUGUUCCCUACGGGCAGUCCCAUUCCAGUGAUUCCUGACGUUGCCGCCACGAUCGAUUUCUUCUUGCCCGUCGCACCGAAGCUGAAGAACCUGGAAAAGUAAUUCGAUUUUAAUAUGACCAAAAAAAGAAAAAUAUAAAAUUCUCGUGUUGUAAAUCAAUUAAUCAUUGCAAUGCAGCUGGAGGUCGAAGUUUGUUGUGCUUGCCCUCGAGUUACUUCAACCGCGACGAUGAAAAAUGAAGCGAUUCAUGCAACUAUACCUUUUCUUUUGAGAAGGCUGGAGUGCGUUGGCCAGCAGCUGUUUGUAAUGAUCAGAGCGGACGAAACGGGGAUAGCAAUCCUUCUUGAGCAGUAAGUUGUAGACGUGCUCGGCCGCCCGGUCGAAAGUGAACCGCGACGGACGUUUCAUCUCGUGCUGGACGAGGUCCAUAGUCCGCCCGUCAAUAUUGAUCUCGCACGGCGCUCCCGGUGCCAAAAACUCUCUUUUUUUCGUUGGAAAUAUCGUGAAAAAUUUCAAUUGAACGACGACGAAAAAUAUGAAUAAUAAUAACUCACUGGUAAAUUUCUUGGACGCGAUGAAGAAUCCUGGAAGCCGGCCCACUUCUCAGCUGAUUAGUGGCCAACCAGAACCGGAUGUUUUCGUGACUGUAUUCUUUGCGCAAGUAGUUGGUCAAUUCUUGUAAACCUUUUAGAUAGAAUACCAUUUUCAUAACAGAGAUGUAUCUUUUUUUUCUUUUCUCUCUUUCUUAAGAUGUUACGAUGCCCAUGGCAACAAUUUCAUCGUUAGAACGAGGGACAUCUACAAAUAUCAAAGGUUGUGAAUAGUUACCGGUCUGGUCCGUCACGAGAUCUUCGAUGGAAAUGGCCCAACGUUUGGCUCGCUUCUCGGUCGGCACUUCCACACUGUCAAAUACGAACAGAUCGAAUGCCAUUAUCAUCCUUCGCAUGAGAUGUGUGUACGCCAACGAAAGUAACAACUUGAAUGCAUGUUGAUGGUACAUCCUGUCAUAAACACGAGAAUGGUUUCGAAAGGUUGCAAUGGCGUGCGUCGCAUUUGAUGAACGACGUCGGUCGGCCAUUGAUCGGUUCGGCCCAAAUCGAAUAUUAAAACAAGUUUAUAAGUUU